CCUACGGGAGGCUGCAGUAGGGAAUAUUGCUCAAUGGGGGAAACCCUGAAGCAGCAACGCCGCGUGGAGGAUGAAGGUUUUAGGAUUGUAAACUCCUUUUGUUAGAGAAGAUUAUGACGGUAUCUAACGAAUAAGCACCGGCUAACUCCGUGCCAGCAGCCGCGGUAAUACGGAGGGUGCAAGCGUUACUCGGAAUCACUGGGCGUAAAGAGUGCGUAGGCGGGGUAAUAAGUCAGAUGUGAAAUCCUGUAGCUUAACUACAGAACUGCAUUUGAAACUGUUACUCUGGAGUGUGGGAGAGGUAGGUGGAAUUCUUGGUGUAGGGGUAAAAUCCGUAGAGAUCAAGAGGAACACCGGUGGCGAAGGCGGCCUGCUGGACUGCAACUGACGUUGAGGCCCGAAAGCGUGGGGAGCAAACAGGAUUAGAUACCCGAGUAGUC
rnacentral:rRNA from 1 species